rnacentral:rRNA from 1 species
UACGAAGGGAGCAAGCGUUGUCCGGAUUUAUUGGGCGUAAAGAGCGUGUAGGCGGCCAGAUAGGUCUGCUGUGAAAACUCGAGGCUCAACCUCGAGAUGUCGGCGGAAACCAUCUGGCUAGAGUCCGGAAGAGGAGAAUGGAAUUCCCGGUGUAGCGGUGAAAUGCGCAGAUAUCGGGAAGAACACCCGUGGCGAAGGCGGUUCUCUGGGACGGUACUGACGCUGAGACGCGAAAGCGUGGGGAGCGAACAGGG